rnacentral:lncRNA from 1 species
ACAACUGUAAAAUAUGUUGUACUAGGUCAGGAUAUUUCAUUUUGGACGCCUUUUGUGCAUUCUAUAGAACUAAACACUCCUUCACUCUCACAGAGGAUUUUUUAGCACCAAUUUACUACACAAAAAUCAUUUUUGAUUUCCUCUGCUGAGAGACUUGUUUUCAAUAUUAGAAAAAGAUUCCUCUAUUUUCUUAAAAUCUGAAAAGAUGAUUUGAAGUAUAAGGUUCUCUCAUUGUUUUUUAAGGUUGAACCUAGGUGUAAUUUGGUUGUCGUUUGCUUCUUGUUGCUGCUCACCAUCUUUUGGAAAUGUUCAAUUGUUUAGUGACCUUUAUUUGGUCAUUCCUCUAGUUAUAUUUUUCAGUUUCAAGGUACGUACCAUGACUCUUUUGAAUGGAAUCAAACUCUGUAUUUCAAAUCUUCACUUGGAAGUUUUUUAUUUCAGUGAACCUUGAUAUUUGAUCUGAGAAUCAUGAAUGUUGGAUUUAAAGUUAAUUGGACUAUAUGUUAGUUUUAGAUGAUUGUUGAAUUUAAAUCAUGAAAUCUGGAUGUUGUACUAUAUUACAUGUCAAAACACACAUAUUUGGUUGACUAAAUCAGUACAUAUGCACCUCUGAGACUAUGUCCUAAACCCCAUCUCCCAUAUCAACACAAAAGGAUAUUGAAUCAGACCCCUUUAAUGGUCAGAUUCAUCCCUUAAAAUAGUGCAUAAAAGUCUUGUUUUCCUCAUUAUUUCUUUGAGUCAUUUCCCCUUCUUCUCCACCCUCUUUUACUGAAAUGAGUGCUAUAGAAUGAAUCAUGGCUUGGGAAUUAUUGUUUUUCACAAGACUGACCCUCAAUAUGGUUAGGCUCGAUACACAUUAUCUUUAUCUUUCAUUCAUCUUGUGUUAGGUUCAACUUGGACACAUUUUUUUAUUAGCAAGAUUUCUCUGAAAGAGUACUAACUUCUUCUCUGAAAUUUUCAGACUUAGAAAUAGCUUCUCCUUUUAAAGAAGAAAUAUCAGAAACCUCUUGUUCCUUUAUAAGUAAAAAACAUGGUUUGAAAAUGGGAACUUCCUUUAGUUCCUUAGGUGGAUUAUGAGUUUCUUCCAGCUUGGAUUCCGGGUUUAAAGCCUGAUUCUGAGAGCUACAGAAGCUGUUUGGUUCGUUGUUGUUGUUUCUUGCUUUGAAGUAGCUUUGUCAGUCUCAUUUAGUCCUUUAUCUUCAAAGGACGCAUAGUUAUUCCUUGAAAUGACUCCUUUGUAGGUGUAAUUCUUUAAAUAAAUGGUUCCUUGUUUUCAUUUGAAUUCUGAUUGAUGAGUUGUUAGCUUUUAUGCAAUGUCAAUAUUGGUCAUCUCUAUAAAUGUGUAUUUCAGAUUUUUUUGCAUUAGUCAAGUAACAUGUCUAGAUCCUCACCUUAUAAAACUUGGUUAGCUUAUUGAGUUUGACCCUUCCAUGGUCAAAUUCAUAGCCUAAAAUAACAUUCCCCUUCGUUUAAGUGUAUCCUGUAUUUGCUUUAAGGCAACUUGCCAUAACUGUGAGGUUUAAAACCUCAGUUGAUGUAUGAGUUUAACCUUUUUGACAUGGUUGAACCCAUGAAUCAGGCUGUCCCACAUAUUUGAGUUUUUUUUAAUAUUCUGGUUCAGGAGUGGUUCUAUAGUCAGCUUUUCGCUUCCUCUCUUUUCUUAACACAUUUCUUAAUACAAGUAAUGCUGAUAUUAUUUAGGUGUUAAUACAAGUAAUGGUGAUAUUCUUAAUACAAAUAAAUGGUUCCUUGUUUUCAUUUGGAUUCUGAUUGAUGAGUUGUUAGCUUUUAUGCAAUGUCAAUAUUGGUCAUCUCUAUAAAUGUGUAUUUCAAAUUUUUUUGCUAGUCAAGUAACAUGUCUAGAUCCUCACCUUAUAAAACUUGGUUAGCUUAUUGAGUUUGACUCUUCCAUGGUCAAAUUCAUAGCCUAAACUAACAUUCCCCUUUGUUUAAGUGUAUCCUGUAUUUGCUUUAAGGCAACUUGCCAUAACUGUGAGGUUUAAAACCUCAGUUGAUGUAUGAGUUUAACCUUUUUGACAUGGUGGAACCCAUGAAUCAGGCUGUCCCACAUAUUUGAGUGUUUUUUAAUAUUCUGGUUCAGGAGUUGUUCUAUAGUCAGCUUUUCGCUUCCUCUCUUUUCUUAAUACAAGUAAUGCUGAUAUUAUUUAGGAGUUAUUUACAAAACUUUGAGCCAGUGCUUAUAGAUUUGGUCACCAGUUGACCAGAUCAGCAAGUAUAAAAGUUUUAAAACCCAAAGCUCUACUAUUCCAGCAUACCGAGAUCCAGUGCUAUUUACAUAUGAAGCACAGCUUUGAUGGAUAAGCUAUGUCCAAGAAGAGGCAGUUUUCAUUAUCCAUAUAUGGAGGCUGCAAUAGUUUAGUGAUUGGGGUAUUUUAUGUAUUUAAUAGGAUUAUCAUGUAAUAACGUUAAUUUUUCUGGAUUUUCAUAACCUGCGAGUAUUAUAAAUGGACUUCUUUAGUUUUAUUCAGUUUCUCCUUUUCCUAGUUUAUUUAGUAUUGUGUCAUUACACUUAUGACCUAAAGUUCAUUUGAUGAACAUGUUUUAUUGCUGUGACUGGGACAGGCUCACAGUCAUGCCCAAGUUGAGAUCCAUUCCAGCAAAUCCGAG